rnacentral:rRNA from 1 species
CAGCCGCCGCGGUAAUACGUAGGGUGCGAGCGUUGUCCGGAAUUAUUGGGCGUAAAGGGCUCGUAGGCGGUUUGUCGCGUCGGGAGUGAAAACACCGGGCUUAACUCGGUGCUUGCUUUCGAUACGGGCAGACUAGAGGUAUGCAGGGGAGAACGGAAUUCCUGGUGUAGCGGUGAAAUGCGCAGAUAUCAGGAGGAACACCGGUGGCGAAGGCGGUUCUCUGGGCAUUACCUGACGCUGAGGAGCGAAAGUGUGGGGAGCGAACAGG